rnacentral:rRNA from 1 species
AUGGAUGAUGAGGUGGACACUGUGUUAAUGAAUAAGCAAAACAUGCCAGAUAGAAAGUCACAGAAUAAUAAAGUUUCAUCUGGCAAACUUUCAUGUGAACUGGUGCCUGUGAAAGAGGAGCCACAUGACAGCAAUGGGACUGCAUUAAAUAAAGAUAAGCGUCAAGAGAAAAUACCAUCGUCAUCACGUGAGCUCCGCAGUGGCACUAAAAGGAUACUGAGAUCUGUUGUAAUAUCAGAUGAGUCAGAAGAUGAAUGCACUGAGACAAAUAUGCCUGAAAAAAAGGAAAAAGGUGUUUGCGGGAACAAGAAACAUGUUAAAGCAAAAGCCAAAACUACAGUGCUUGAAGAUGAAGAUGAAGUACCGAAAUCAAAGGCCAGCAGAAAAAGGAUGUGA